UUCUAGCUUUUCUUUGCCCAACCAUGUGUGUUAAGAGAUUACUUAUAAGUGUUGAUGAAGGCUAUACUCUUUACAGAGGGAGCCAUCUGUAAAAACUGCAUUUAACUUAGUUGCAAAAACAAGAGAUUACAACUUUUGUACAGGGAAGCUGGGGAAAGCCCUUUUUUAAUGGGAAUUGAAAGAAUCAUGGAGGGGAGAGAGGAGAAAACCAAAACUGAUAGAGAGUGGGAAAGAAGAAGAGGCAAGGCAAAAGAAGGCAUCAAAGAGGCUGGAAAUGAAAGUAGAACACUUCCAACUUUGUCCAACAGUGUGUAAAUUGCAGCCCAAAGUAACUUUCUCAUACAUGAAAGCACAAACAUUUAAAAUAGGCUGUUCUUUGAUAAAAUACCUAUAUGGAAGUGACAGUUUGAUAAUGAACCAAUAUAUGAAAAUCAAGGUGGCUGAUUUCCUUGAAUUAUUUUUCAUGGUGGAGAGCAUAUCAUCCCUGGAUGGGUUGCAGAAUGAAAAUGUUGGAGAGAAAGGAAUCAACUGUAAUUUGCCUGCAGGUUGUGGUCGUGGUAUCUGUGAAGCAGCAGGGAACUGUGCCAGAAGAUGGCAUUGCUGUUCGCAGAGCACUCAUCUCCAUUGCAACAAGUCAUUAGAGGAGUGGAAAAAUUUCAGCUUCAAAGUCCUUUAGACUGAGUCAGGCUGAGAGGAAACGAGUUUGCCUUCAUAUCACUCAUCAAGGACGGUUCCAUUAAAAUAUAUAAUGUGCUGAG